UCUCCGUUGGUGAACCAGCGGAGGGAUCAUUACCGAGUUUACAACUCCCAAACCCAAUGUGAACCAUACCAAACUGUUGCCUCGGCGGGGUCACGCCCCGGGUGCGUCGCAGCCCCGGAACCAGGCGCCCGCCGGAGGGACCAACCAAACUCUUUCUGUAGUCCCCUCGCGGACGUUAUUUCUUACAGCUCUGAGCAAAAAUUCAAAAUGAAAAAAAACUUUCAACAACGGAUCUCUUGGUUCUG
rnacentral:misc_RNA from 1 species